GGAGGGGUGGCAGAGCGGCUUAUUGCACCGGUUUUGAAAACCGGCGUGGGGAAACUCACCGGGGGUUCAAAUCCCUCCCCCUCCGCCA
rnacentral:tRNA from 1 species